UCUCUCCUGUUGCCUUCCAGUACCCAACCACCUCAGGCACCAACUUCACUGAAUGAAGAGGGAGCCUAGUUAACACGGGAAAGAGGAGGCUUGUAUUAGAGGAAGAGGAAUGUACUAGGUCACAGAAUGGGCAAGAAGAACAGGCAAUGAAGGAUUAUGGGAAGAGCAACUGAUUCAACGUGUGACUUUGUAAAUGGUUAUUCUAUCUGUUAGCCAGUUAAUAACUUAAUAUCAUUAAACCUCAGUCCCUUUCAUCUACAAAAUGGGUAUAAUAAUGUCUACAUAUCUGAUAUAACUGGUAAGUAGUUCAAUUCAGAUAAUAUAUAUAUAAAUACUCUAAACACAAGUUUAAAGGAAAUACCCUUAUCAUUCAUCAUUCCAACCUGUGAGAAUGGGUUUUUUAAAGUUCGCUCUGGAAAAAUGAUCAACCUUUCAAUUUACUAGUUACAAAAAGCAACUCUUACUAUGUAUUAUUCACUGCUGCUAAUAGCCUUAAAUGAUGAGAAUUUAUAAAUAACACAUUUUUGAGCUGCAUACUGAAGAUAAGGUUUAUACAAAGGAGCUCUGAAUAUAUUGUUCAGGCUUCACCUGGCAAACAACAACAUUGAAGACCAAAGAGGGUAACCAAGUAAGUACAGGAAAAAUAAAGUAGCUAGUAACGCUGAAUGAAAGUGAAGUGGUUACCUCCAGGAGAAUUUAGGCCAAAAUACCUGCUAUAGAACUUGAGUCCACAGAUUUGUAGUCUCCAUUGUGACUUAAGUAAAUGUUUGGCAUGGGUAUUUUCCUAGCAACCAUUUGUGUAUUCCUUCCCAUUCUUCUUCGCUGCUUCUCCUUACUCCCACUGACAAAGCAGUGAAGGUUUAUUGUUAAAACCAGGAGAUUCGGGCUUAGUCAGAUAUUGGUUUAAAUCUCAGUUCUGCCACUUGCUAGCCUUUGACCCUCUGCAAAUUAUUUAAUUUUUGAGUCUCAGGAUUCUCAUUUGCAAAAUGGAAUAAUAAUAGUAUUUAUAGCAUAGAGUCUGACACACAGUGUAUGCUGAAAAAGGACCAGUUAUAAUUGUUAGAGUAGAAAAUACACAGUUUGUUAAAGCACUCCUUCAAAACUCACUCCAGUAGUAUUCCCUGCUCCAAAACUAUCUUUUAUAUUUUUAAAAACGACCUGAGUAAAAUCCUCAGCAAAAAUCUUUUUAAAAAAUAUAUUUCCCACUAAUGUGGAAAUUACUUAUAUUUCCUAAACAAAAAUGGAAUUUAGGAUCAUGUCUAGGAGUAUCAGUGGCCAAAGGGAUGUAUCUACAAUAGUUUACUUUUAGACAGUGUGUGAUCAUUGGUAGGAAAAUAUUGGAGCCCUUCUGUAUUAGGAGUUCCUAAGAAGAUUUAGAAAUUACACAGCUUAACGAAUAGUUACAUAGUAACCUACUGCAAGACUUACAUGAAAUUUAUUAUAUUCUUUUAGCUCUUUAUCCAUUUAAGUAUAAAAUCUAACAAGCCAAGUCACUGUAGUUAUUAAGUGCCUAUGGUGCGCCUGAUAUGUUGGGUGUAGAAGGGCACAAUCAAUGAGGAUUAGGAUCUGUCUCCCUAUUAAUUGAUAAACAAAGAUGACUGUACUUUUCACACUUAAAGAGGAGUCAAGAUUCAAUAUAACAGUAUAGAAGGUGAUGUGAAGAAGAUUUAAACCAUGAUCAAUUAAGAAACAUUUGAGCCUCUAUUCUCUCAUCUAAAAUUUGCUUAAUACUGUAUUUUCCUUUCUUACUUCAUUGUGUUCCUGGCAGGAUCAAAUGAGAUCACAUGUGUAAAAGAGACUGUGUUAACUGUGUACAAAUAUUAGGUACUGAUGAAGUAUUCAUACUGCAAAAUGGGAAUGAAUGUUAUAGCAGUAGCAACCCACUGCAAGAUGGGAAACUGCCCAUAUGAACUGCAAGCAGAUAAACUCCAGGAACUUCCACCAAAGCACAUUGCCUGAUAUCAGCAGCACUACAAGCACACAUGAAGGGGAAACCUACCACCAUACUGCCUUUGGGUUGUUGUGAGGAUGAAAUAAAAAAUGUAAAUAAGGUUCUUAGUACAGUGACUGGCAUAUAGUAUUAUCAUCAUCCUUUUGCCACUGUUAUCAUAUUAAUAGUAAUAGUAAUCAAUAUGCAUAGAAUGGUUUGAACUAUGAUCUUGUUCUUUCACAGUUCUGGAGAAAGAACUGAAAGCAUUAGUAAAUUUCUAUUCUGAAGCCAGUUUAGAAGCCUCUGACUGCCACUGAAUAACCUGUGUAUCAGUAGACUGGAGCCUUCUUUCUACCAAAUUAUUGUUCUGUGUAAUGUAAUUUUUAAUGUUCAGCUCUGCAUGAGAAAAAUAAAUUGUUGUAAAUUUCAA